CCCUUAGACACUCUAGGCGGCACGCGCGCUACAAUGGGUGGAAGACCGUGUUACUGCCUUCGAAAGAAGGGGUGAAUCACGAAUUCUUACCCGUGAAUGGGAUAGUUUGUUGCAAUUUUCGGACUUGAACUAGGAAUCCCUUGUAAGCAUGCUCAAGAAUAGCGUGUUGAACACGUCCCUGCCGUUUGUACACACCGCCCGUCGUUUCUUCCGACUGAUACUCAUUGUGAGUUGCAAGGACCCUUUAUUGGGAAAUUGCUGCGAAUGCUUUGUAUUGGAGGAAGAAAAAGUCGUAACA
rnacentral:rRNA from 1 species